rnacentral:rRNA from 1 species
AUGGAGGCACACCAUCUAGCGAAACAUGCUUUGCAGUUAUCUGUGGGUUGCCACCUGUAUUCACAUCUGAAAUUGCCGUCUACAAACCACAAGCAAGUACACAGCAAGCGGCUGCUGGACAUAUAUAUUGCUACUCCUCGUUGGAUUCCUCCACCCUCAGGCUUUGUGAAAAUUAAAGUAGACGGGGCAGCGGUAUCAAAGACGACUAAUUUGGGUGCGUGCAGUGCAAUAUGCAGGAAUGCCGAGGGCCAGUACAUGGGAGCUUCAGCGUUGGUUUACUCCGGCGUGACUGAUCUGGCAACUCUGGAAGCUUUGGCAUGCCCUGAAGCAUUAGCACUAGCGAAUGAUCUUCUACAAACGCAGGUUAUUGUGGGGUCUGAUUGUAAAGAAGUGGUCUCAAAUAUUGUGGAAGGCAAUGGAGGGAAUCAUGCCGAUAUUUCCCGCGAAAAUCAGACGACGAUUCCGGAAGUUCAGCAAUGCUCAGUUCAGUUUCGAAGGUCGAGCAUCAAAAACAUCGAGGCACAUAUGGCCUCACUAAGUACGUGCUUAGUCUCCCGGUAG